AAAGAAUAAAAGAAUAAAAGAACAAAAAAGCAUUAUGAUUCCAAUGAUGUCAGAGCCUUCCACCCCAGGACAAUUGGAAUGUUCAAUGACAAGCCAAGUUUUCUCUGUAGGCCCCAGGGUUUUCACCCAAGUUUUUAACAGAUUUGUCUCAAACUAACCACGCUCUUAGGGAAAAAAGAAGAAUGGAAAAGAGCAGUGAGCUCCCCGUCUUGGGUCAGAUCCUGCUGUAAAUGUUCUCUCUCACACACACGUGCAUGGACAGACCCAAACCUACGUGUGUGCGGGACAUACUCCUACGAAAUAUAAAAAUGUGUAAAUACCGAGAGGGGAAAAGUGUAAUCCAGAGGUAGCUGGAACCUCUCUGCUCUUAUAGAUCUGAGUCAGAUUACCUGGGUCUCUGAGCACCCCAAGUCUCUGCAGGAUUUCUACAAGUUCCCCAGGUUUCUGAUGGUUACACAAGUUUUUCUCGUUUCUGUCUUGGGGUUUCUGCGGCCGACAGGCAGACUCGUUACCGUGUGACCUAGAGAGACAGCACAGAGAAACUCAGCCUCUCUGAUCCCAGCAGUCCCCAUUUUCCAUCCCAAACAUGAGGUCGAUCAUGUAGGAAUGGGGGAGAGUGCACUGGGUGUGCAGGUGGGACUCCGUUUGUUCGGCAACAGUGAAGAUAGUACUCCGUUCCGGACACAUCUUGAGUGACCGCUCCUUUCCAGGAGAGAUUGAGAGCCUCUUUCCAAAAGCUGACUCUUCUCCCUGACCCUUCUCGUUUCCCACAUCCCUCGUCCCUCACCAUUAAGGGAGCCAAAGAACAGAUUUCAUUUCCUCGUCUCAAGCAGGGCAGCGUCCUCCCACCACCCCCAAUUCCCUGGGCGAGGCUCCUCCUCUUCCAGAAGGCACUCUUUCAAAUAAUGAAGAGGGUUUCCAACUGGAUCCAGAGAAAAAAUCGUCUUCACUUCCUGACAAAAGUGUGAAAAAUUUACAUAUUCCUUAAAAAUUCCGCAGCCUCUCAGGGCCGAACACUGAUAACAGAAUCAUGUUCAAUGUGUUUUGACUAUGACGCUAAAUAGGUGGCUUAGAGAAAUCUUUCGGUUAGAUGCAAUUGUGUGGGAGAGCUAACGGAGCUAGACUCAUUCCAUGUUGCUCUGUUAUUCUAUUGAGAGAAAGACGGGGGAGAAAAAAAAGCUUUAUUUCUGUCAGUGGAAGAAAUGAGCUGUCUAAAAAUAACAUAAGGAGAACACCCACUACUCCUGUCCCUUCUCAGAUGUCACAUCGCAUUGAUCUUGGUGAGCCGGGAAGUCACUUAGUGCAUCCUUUAAAAAGUCAUACUGUCCAGGGAGAGAAGGACACCUCCUUUCACUUCCAAUCAGCCAACCCAUCACUCCUUUUCUCCAUUGGUAGGGUUGCAGAGGAAUGUAAAAGGUAUGAGUCAUGUUCUGAAAAUGCAAACACACAUGCAGAGCAUAUAAAAUGAACCGCGAGGAGAGUAGGAAUUAGAGACACAAUGCGGCCCUUUGUGAAACAUGGCAACAUCCCUGGGGACCAAGGUUUCUGAGUGUUGUUGAGCCGAGGGUAAUGACAGGGUUCAGGGUUUGCCAGAGAGUGUGUGAUAACACGGAGAUUUUUAGGAAAAGUGCAGUGAGCCUUUAAUCAAGCCUCAGAGGGGCUCGCCAAUGGUGCCCAUUCUGUCAGUUGUUUAUGCGGUGGGUGGGCUGCAGUCAGAAUGUCGCCCUUUUUCGCUAUGAAAAUUUAUGGAGCGUUUAUCUAAUUUUUUUUUUUCUCCUUGAGGGAAACAUUUGCAAAAUGUUAAUUACACAGGUUCUAGAUUUACCGUUCCUGAAAGAUGAAUUCUGGAACAUUACUUUUACCUGUGGUCACCUCUCUUAACUGGGAACUUGAGUUUCACUGACUUGGGAUGUCACCCUGAGGGUAUGUCUGUGACUCCGGAGGAAUCCCUUGGGAUCUACCACGUUUUGGAGUUGGGGAAGGUAUUAUUCUGGGCUGCAGGUUAUGGCUGUUAGAUGGAUAACACGUCAGGAGGAUCGCAGCCAUGCACAAAUGGAGGGAUUUUGACUUGCUAUGCCUUCCAUGUAACAGUUAUUACGUUUGUGUUUUUUUUUUUUUUUUUGUAGAUAAUUGUUCAAUCAUAGAGUGUUAUGGUGGAGUCUUUGAUCUCAUUCCCCAAAGUUAACUGUAAAACUUUUGUAUGAGCUCCCGUAUUCCUGGAUUACAAAAUGGCACCAGCAGACAAUUCUUACUGUCAUGGAUAAUUGCCAGAGAGAGGGGAAAUAGGAUAGAGGGCUGGGAUAAAGAAUGAAAGUAAACACUUAAGGGGAACAUAAUGCUUUAGAGGAAGGCACAGCACUGUAAUAGUGUAACGAUUCCAAUCCCAGAUUCAUGGUGAUUUAAUGAAAUAAGCAGCAUGCGUUGGCCCUAAACAUAUGUUGACAGAGGCAGAUUGAAUAUUAGAGAUUUCUAUUGUAAAGUAGUGAUUUUUGUGUCCAAGAUGUCAUUAUCUUCCAAAGAUAUGCACUCCUUUGAGGUCUGAAAAUACAGGUAGUUUCCUUUUAAUGCUUCUUGAGCCUUGCACUCAUUGUUUUCUCUUGGAGGACGCUUGUGAUUUCCAUGCACAGACACUGUCAUAGGAUCUGCAUUUGAGCAAUCAGCAGCCCAAGACUAUUCGAUAGAAAGGCUGGAGGAGAAUGAGAAGGCUUCUUAUUCUGGCCGUCAUAGAUGAUUGUUGGGUUUGUAAAGGCCUUCAGAUAGAAUGACAAGGAGAAUUCAAAACCCAAUGCUUUGAUUAGAACUAAUUAGAACUAACCCCUGCUCUCUUCUUCAUUUGCCAGGUAGCAUACCUUACCUUAAUUUCUGGGGGAGGGGUGGAGAAAACUCUGCCCAAACAGGAUGUACAGCUGUUGAUCUGGAACCAUGUCGUACAACAGAACUAAAGGAAGGGGUUGGACUCACUGCCUUAUCCUGAAACACGUCUCCAGGAUUGGUCCCAUGGUUUUUACCACGGAUGGCAGAGAAAGGCAGAGCAAGAACAAAAUUGUGUUAAUGUGGCCACCAAUGCCAUCCUAACUGUCAGUAUCUGCCAAAGCUGGGAUAUCACUUAACCCACCUAAUAUUUUUCUUUAAUUUUUUUUCAAUGUUUAUUUAUUUUGAGAGAGAGAGAGCACAGGCAGGGGAGGGGCAGAGAGAGAGGGAGACACAGAAUGCGAAGCAGGCUCCAGGCUCUGGGCCGUCAUCACAGAGCCCAACGCGGGACUUGAACUCAUGGGCUGGGAGAGCAUGACCUGGGCUGAAGACUGAGCCUCCCAGUUGUCCCUUAACCACCUAAUAUUUUAUCCCACUGCCAUGACUUGAAAUUUAGGGCCCUUUUCCACACAAGACUAGGAAUCCCUCUCUGAUUUUGCUCUCAAGAGAAUGACCCCCUCAUCUUAUAUUUGUCUGUUGCUUCCUCCCAAAUGUCAUCUUUGGUCCAUACUUCCAGGGUUGGGCCUUGGCUUUCACGCACUACAGGGUAUUUGGUGUUUUAAAUUAUACCUGCAAUUCUCAUGGCAGACCUAGGAAAUCAUUACAGAAUGAAGGGAGUCAGCAGCUCUGAUUUAAUAUUUUUCUGUCUCUAGGUCUUAAAUCCUUCUGCUUUGUCCAAGUCUUCAUUUACCCCAACACUAGGAUAAGAUUUCAGAGGAUACUUUUCCUCAUGAAAUUUUCCAUGUUUUUUUGACUGAAAGAAAAGAUUCAUUCACCACAGAAUUCAUCCAAAUUUGAAGAAGGGGGUUAGAAAGUUCAGAUGUUAUUCCAAAUGGAUAUUAAAAAAAAAAAAGCCAGUCUAUCAGUAAUGAAGGUAAUAUAGAGCUAAAUAGAAAACAAAACUGUUCCUUCUGGAAAAACAAAAUUCACAAGAUGUUUUUUUUUUUUUCCUUGGAUAUCAGCCUCUUCAAGAUUUGGAGUUCCUAGUCAUUGAAAAGCUUUGCUCAUUUUCUAUCAUGGUAACAUAUAUAGAUAGUACAGUAGCUAAUUGCAAUUACCCUAGAUAAAGACCCAAAGAAAAAGAAAGAAGGAAAAAAGAUUUUCUUCCCCCAUUUCUUAGUUUGUGCACAUUCCAUUCCAGAUGGGGCCCAUUAUGUGAUGUUGUAUUUCAAAAGGGAAACAUGUCUUAAAGUUGCUGAAAAAAUGUCCAUUAAGGAAAUAAGAGCCGCUGCAGGAAAGACACGUGUUAUCUAUUUCUUCAAUUAGUCGCAAAAUCCUGGUAGUAUUCCUGGAGAACUGUGGGGGUUCUAAUUGAAAUAUUCGAAUCCCCACUCCUCCCCAACCCACCAAUGCUAUUGUGAAAAGGGAGAAAGAAUCAUAGGAUUCAAUUCUGGGGGAAAAACCAUUUCUGAUUUUGUAGCUAAGAGAAUAGAGUUGCGCAAUUUUGCUUAAUGUGUCGUUUAUUAAAAGUUUUUCUCAGUAGGACAGCAAGCAAUUAUGUGAAGCAGCUGGGUUACAGAAGGACCGAUCGCAUGUUAUUACACGCAGAGGAAUUAUGGAUUAUGGAAAGAUGAACAAUGUAAUUAUGCUCACGGAGUGUCACUUAUUAAUUUUUUAAGGCAGUGGGAUACCGUGGUGACCAAAAACCGACACGGUCCCUCUUCUUGGGGAGCCUAACAGCCUAGUGCAGGAGAGAGAGAUUAAUUAAAGAAACCUGUAACAUUACAAAUGUGGCAAAUGCCAUCCAUGAAGGAGAGAAACCCAGAGCAUUACCUUGUCUGUUCCAUGAAAGAAACCGUGGGUGUUUUACUUGAGAUGGCACCAAAUUUGUAGAUUAAUUUGAGAAGAAUUGACAUUUUUAUCACGUCGAUGCUUCUUGUCCAGCAAUGCGGACAACUUGAGUGGCCUCCUGUGCAGUGGACCCAAAGUGCUUACCUGCAUGUGCCAGGACUUGUCAGGACACAACCGUGUUCGGAGGGACCAGAGCAGUGUAAUUUCACAUGUUAACGUGAAGAGAAGGACACAAGAAAAGAUGCUUCCGUUUGCUUGGUGAACCCAGUCUGAACACAAGCAGAGAGCGGCAUGUAGGUAAUACACGGCCACAGUCGCGGUUCCUGGGAUCCUUAACUCCUUGCUCAAUUGCUUUCUUAACCUCAUGAAAAUAAAAUCUGGGAGGAAGCAAAUCACUUCUAAACACACACAGAGAAUUCAUCUUCCAUGUGCCGGAGAGAGAAAUCAAAGAACGCCCUGCCGUCCCUUUGCUUUUCGUCAGUUUGAAAAGAAUGUACACAAAAAACAAAUCUGAACAUGCAAAGGGGUUAGCUCAUCAAAAAGGAGAUCAGAAGCAAUGAGAGAGACUCUCUGCGAAGUACAGGGCGGAGGAGGACCGGGGACUCCGCAAAGAGACAAGUUUGUCAUGAGGUGGUGCGGAUGGGAGCAAGCAAAUGAGAACACGUUUGCAAAAGGUAGGAGGUUAUUGACCAGGUCGCACACUCCCCGAGUUUGGGAUUAGGAGGUAAGUCUACCCUUCCGCCCUGUGCCAGGAGGUGAGGGACCUUCUCUGUCCGCUGAGGUCUCAUGCUGAAGGGUCAGCCUUUUUGCGAAUUGGCGGUAGUGGGCACUUGGAAAGCUCCCUGUGGUGGCUCCAUUAUAAGCAAAACUGUCAAGCGUGUUUUUAUUGUAUCUCAGUAACCCUUCUCCCUUGGCAGCCUCCCCUUCUGAGUCUCGCUUUACUGCUUUGCUUACUCCAAAGGGAAGAUGCCCCGUUCUCUCUGGAUCUGAGCCUGUCGCCUCCCUGCGGCUCAGCCCUCAACGGGAAAUAUCCAAUGCCAUGUCCUGGGCGGAAGGGACUUAGAGUUCAGCCGGACGAUGACCUGAGACACCCUGCCUUCAGAUGUCAGGUCAGAUGCCGUGGAAAAUUGGAAAAGCCUAUUCUUGCGAAUUCCUAGUCUCCUCCUGAAUCCAAUGGAAAAACAGCAGGCCAAUUUUAAACCUAUGUAUUUCCUAUAGUGGAGGUUUUUUAAAUGUCAGAAUGAAAAUUUGACUUAACUCCAGCACUUGAUGGAAAUAAAAUGAAGUCUGCAAGCA